UAGAAUGUAGCAUAAAUUAAUGUAUUUCACUUACACUGAAAUGAUACUUCUGACAUGGAGUCGUUCUA
rnacentral:tRNA from 1 species